GAUGAACGCUAGCGGGAGGCUUAACACAUGCAAGUCGAGGGGCAGCAUAGGGUAGCAAUACUCUGAUGGCGACCGGCAAACGGGUGAGUAACGCGUAUGCAACCUACCCUGUACAGGGGGAUAACCCGGAGAAAUUCGGACUAAUAUCCCGUAAUAAUAUCCGGAGGCAUCUUUGGAUAUUUAAAGUUCCGACGGUACGGGAUGGGCAUGCGUAACAUUAGCUGGUUGGUAAGGUAACGGCUUACCAAGGCUAUGAUGUUUAGGGGUCCUGAGAGGGUGGUCCCCCACACUGGUACUGAGACACGGACCAGACUCCUACGGGAGGCAGCAGUGAGGAAUAUUGGUCAAUGGGCGCAAGCCUGACCAGCCAUCCCGCGUGCAGGAAGACGGCCCUAUGGGUUGUAAACUGCUUUUCCAGGGAGAGAAACUUACGCACGUGUUGCGUGACUGACGGUACCCUGGGAAUAAGCAUCGGCUAACUCCGUG
rnacentral:rRNA from 1 species